rnacentral:rRNA from 1 species
GAUGAACGCUGGCGGCGUGCCUAAUACAUGCAAGUCGAGCGAACAGACGAGGAGCUUGCUCCUCUGACGUUAGCGGCGGACGGGUGAGUAACACGUGGAUAACCUACCUAUAAGACUGGGAUAACUUCGGGAAACCGGAGCUAAUACCGGAUAAUAUAUUGAACCGCAUGGUUCAAUAGUGAAAGACGGUUUUGCUGUCACUUAUAGAUGGAUCCGCGCCGCAUUAGCUAGUUGGUAAGGUAACGGCUUACCAAGGCAACGAUGCGUAGCCGACCUGAGCGGGGGAUCGUCCACAUGGGAGCAGAGCCACGGACCGGACGACUGCGGGAGGGAGCAGUAGAGAAUCAUCCGCAAGGGGCUCGAGCUGGACAGAGCAACGCGGCGGGGAAGAUAAAGGUCUCCGGAACUUAAACAGCUGUUAGCAGUGCAGAACAUAUACGCAAGGAACUACGCACGGCCUGACGGUACCUAAACAGAAAGCCCCGGCUAACUACGUG